rnacentral:rRNA from 1 species
CCUACGGGAGGCAGCAGUGAGGAAUAUUUGUCAAUGGACGAGAGUCUGAACCAGCCACGCAGCGUGAAGGAUGACUGCCCUAUGGGUUGUAAACUUCUUUUAUAUGGGAAUAAAAUGUUCCACGUGUGGGAUUUUGUAUGUACCAUAUGAAUAAGGAUCGGCUAACUCCGUGCCAGCAGCCGCGGUAAUACGGAGGAUCCGAGCGUUAUCCGGAAUUAGUGGGUGUAAAGGGAGCGUAGGUGGAUUGUUAAGCCAGUUGUGAAAGGUUGCGGCUCAACCGGAAAAUUGCAGUUGAAACUGGGAGACUUGAGUACAGUAGAGGUGGGCGGAAUUCGUGGUGUAGCAGUGAAAUGCUUAGAUAUCGCGAAGAACUCUGAUGGCGAAGGCAGUUCACUGGACAGCAACUGACACUGAGGCUCGAAAGUGUGGGUAUCAAACGGGAUUAGAUACCCGAGUAGUC